rnacentral:lncRNA from 1 species
UGGUUUAGAUGUCUGUGGGGUGAUGAGUACAUGUAUGCCACAGCAGACAUGUGAAGAAGAGGAGACGGCCUUCCUACCAUGGGAGGAGGGUGACAGACUCGGGCCAUCGAGUUUGCAGUCAGGCGUUUACUGAGCCAUCCUCCUAGGCCAUGGUGCAGUUUUUCAUUGGUUUUCUUGGUCCUGGAAAUGACAAACUCGAGAUUGCUCUGCCUCUGUCUCCCUCCAAGCACUGGGAUUAUGGGUUUGCAUGGUGAUGCUCAGCUUGAAAGUUGCUUUAACACGGUCUGUUCUAUGUAGUGUUCUUUGAAGUACCUUAGCACUUGGCACUUACUAGGCUCACAGUCAGGUCCAUUGCCCUGGCAACGCAUCUGCAGACCACACAGACUUUUAAAUUGCUCGUAAGUUAAUGUUAACGAUCAGAGUGGCCAGCGUAGAAGUAAGCUUUGGUUCCCUUGUGUUUGAAUGGGAAUUUGAUCUUGUCAGCAUCUAACUUACUUGUUGUCUCCCUUUUGAUUUUAUCCAGUAAACAAAUGAAUCCUUACAUUGAGGAUAUAUUGAAUAGAAUACAGGAUUUAUUAGCCCUUUCUCCACCCGAGAAUGGGUACCAGUCCUUGCUGAGUAGCGACGACCAGCUCUUCAUUUAUGAAACAGCCGGGGCGCUGAUUGU